AGAGUUUGAUCCUGGCUCAGAAUGAACGUUGGCGGCGUGGAUUAGGCAUGCAAGUCGAACGGGCCGCAAGGCCAGUGGCGCAAGGGUGAGUAAGGCGACGGUAACCAACCCCAUGAAUGGGCAUAGCCGCGGGAAACUGCGGGUAAUUCCCAGCGACGUCGCGAGGAGGCAUCUCCUUGGCCGACCAAAGCUCCGGCGUCGUGGGACGGGCCGUUGUGGUAUUAGCUUGUUGGCGGGGUGACGGCCCACCAAGGCUACGAUGCCUACCGGGCGUGCGAGCGUGGCCCGGCACACUGGGACUGAGACACUGCCCAGACUCCUACGGGAGGCUGCAGUCGAGAAUCUUCGGCAAUGGGCGCAAGCCUGACCGAGCGACGCCGCGUGGAGGAUGAAGGCCUUCGGGUUGUAAACUCCUGUCGAGGGGGAAAAAGGUCCGCAAG
rnacentral:rRNA from 1 species